AUUGAACGCUGGUGGCAUGCCUUACACAUGCAAGUCGAACGGUAACAGGUCUUCGGAUGCUGACGAGUGGCGAACGGGUGAGUAAUACAUCGGAACGUGCCUAAUAGUGGGGGAUAACUACUCGAAAGAGUGGCUAAUACCGCAUGAGAUCUACGGAUGAAAGCAGGGGAUCGCAAGACCUUGUGCUACUAGAGCGGCCGAUGGCAGAUUAGGUAGUUGGUGGGAUAAAAGCUUACCAAGCCGACGAUCUGUAGCUGGUCUGAGAGGACGAUCAGCCACACUGGGACUGAGAACCGGCCCAGACUCCUACGGGAGGCAGCAGUGGGGAAUUUUGGACAAUGGGCGAAAGCCUGAUCCAGCAAUGCCGCGUGCAGGAUGAAGGCCUUCGGGUUGUAAACUGCUUUUGUACGGAACGAAAAGCCCUGGGUUAAUACCCUGGGGUCAUGACGGUACCGUAAGAAUAAGCACCGGCUAACUACGUGCCAGCAGCCGCGGUAA
rnacentral:rRNA from 1 species